GACGAACGCUGGCGGCGUGCCUAAUACAUGCAAGUCGAACGCAGUGGGGACGGGUGAGUAACACGUGGGUAACCUCCCAUAAGACGGGGUAACCCGUGGAAAAAGGUGCUAAACCGCUACUGAUGUAGGAACCCGCGGGGCAUAAGGUAGUUGGUGGGGUAACGGCUCACCAAGGCGACGAUGCAUAGCCGGCCUGAGAGGUUGAUCGGCCACACUGGAACUGAGACACGGCCCAGACUCCUACGGGAGGCAGCAGUAGGGAAUCUUCGGCAAUGGGCGAAAGCCUGACCGAGCAACGCCGCGUGUGUGAAGAAGGUCUUCGGAUCGUAAAACUCUGUUGUUAGAGAAGCGGUAUCUAACCAGAAAGCCACGGCUAACUACGUGCCAGCAGCCGCGGUAAUAC
rnacentral:rRNA from 1 species